rnacentral:rRNA from 1 species
GAUGAACGCUGGCGGCGUGCCUAAUACAUGCAAGUCGAGCGAACAGAUGAGAAGCUUGCUUCUCUGAUGUUAGCGGCGGACGGGUGAGUAACACGUGGGUAACCUACCUAUAAGACUGGGAUAACUCCGGGAAACCGGGGCUAAUACCAGAUAAUACAUUGAACCGCAUGGUUCAAUGUUGAAAGACGGUUUCGGCUGUCACUUAUAGAUGGACCCGCGCCGUAUUAGCUAGUUGGUAAGGUAACGGCUUACCAAGGCAACGAUACGUAGCCGACCUGAGAGGGUGAUCGGCCACACUGGAACUGAGACACGGUCCAGACUCCUACGGGAGGCAGCAGUAGGGAAUCUUCCGCAAUGGGCGAAAGCCUGACGGAGCAACGCCGCGUGAGUGAUGAAGGUCUUAGGAUCGUAAAACUCUGUUGUUAGGGAAGAACAAAUUUGUUAGUAACUGAACAAGUCUUGACGGUACCUAACCAGAAAGCCACGGCUAACUACGUGCCAGCAGCCGCGGUAAUACGUAGGUGGCAAGCGUUAUCCGGAAUUAUUGGGCGUAAAGCGCGCGUAGGCGGUUUCUUAAGUCUGAUGUGAAAGCCCACGGCUCAACCGUGGAGGGUCAUUGGAAACUGGGGAACUUGAGUGCAGAAGAGGAGAGUGGAAUUCCAUGUGUAGCGGUGAAAUGCGCAGAGAUAUGGAGGAACACCAGUGGCGAAGGCGGCUCUCUGGUCUGUAACUGACGCUGAUGUGCGAAAGCGCGGGGAUCAAACAGGAUUAGAUACCCUGGUAGUCCACGCCGUAAACGAUGAGUGCUAAGUGUUAGGGGGGUUUCCGCCCCUUAGUGCUGCAGCUAACGCAUUAAGCACUCCGCCUGGGGAGUACGACCGCAAGGUUGAAACUCAAAGGAAUUGACGGGGACCCGCACAAGCGGUGGAGCAUGUGGUUUAAUUCGAAGCAACGCGAAGAACCUUACCAAAUCUUGACAUUCUUUGACCGCUCUAGAGAUAGAGUCUUCCCCUUCGGGGGACAAAGUGACAGGUGGUGCAUGGUUGUCGUCAGCUCGUGUCGUGAGAUGUUGGGUUAAGUCCCGCAACGAGCGCAACCCUUAAGCUUAGUUGCCAUCAUUAAGUUGGGCACUCUAGGUUAACUGCCGGUGACAAACCGGAGGAAGGUGGGGAUGACGUCAAAUCAUCAUGCCCCUUAUGACUUGGGCUACACACGUGCUACAAUGGAUAAUACAAAGGGCAGCGAACCCGCGAGGUCAAGCAAAUCACAUAAAAUUAUUCUCAGUUCGGAUUGUAGUCUGCAACUCGACUACAUGAAGCUGGAAUCGCUAGUAAUCGUAGAUCAGCAUGCUACGGUGAAUACGUUCCCGGGUCUUGUACACACCGCCCGUCACACCACGAGAGUUUGUAACACCCGAAGCCGGUGGAGUAACCUUUUAUUAGGAGCUAGCCGUCGAAGGUGGGAC